rnacentral:rRNA from 1 species
GACGAACGCUGGCGGCGUGCUUAACACACGCAAGUCGAACGGAAAGGCCCUGCUUUUGUGGGGUGCUCGAGUGGCGAACGGGUGAGUAACACGUGAGUAACCUGCCCUUGACUUUGGGGUAACUUCAGGAAACUGGGGCUAAUACCGGAUAGGAGCUCCUGCUGCAUGGUGGGGGUUGGAAAGUUUCGGCGGUUGGGGAUGGACUCGCGGCUUAUCAGCUUGUUGGUGGGGUAGUGGCUUACCAAGGCUUUGACGGGUAGCCGGCCUGAGAGGGUGACCGGCCACAUUGGGACUGAGAUACGGCCCAGACUCCUACGGGAGGCAGCAGUGGGGAAUAUUGCACAAUGGGCGGAAGCCUGAUGCAGCAACGCCGCGUGCGGGAUGACGGCCUUCGGGUUGUAAACCGCUUUCGCCUGUGACGAAGCGUGAGUGACGGUAAUGGGUAAAGAAGCACCGGCUAACUACGUG